rnacentral:rRNA from 1 species
GACAGAGGUCCCGAGCGUUAGGCGGAAUCACUGGGCUUAAAGCGUGUGUAGGCGGAUUUGUAAGUACCUUGUGAAAUCCCACAGCUUAACUGUGGAACUGCUUGGUAUACUGCUUAUCUUGGGCCACUUAGGGGUUACCGGAACAAACGGUGGAGCGGUGAAAUGCGUAGAUAUCGUUUGGAACGCCAAUGGUGAAAACAGGUCGCUGGGGUUGUGCUGACGCUGAGACACGAAAGCCAGGGGAGCGAACGGG